rnacentral:lncRNA from 1 species
CUCUUGGCCGUCGGGACUUGUACUGUUGGUGACUCCGUCUCCUUAGACGGUGGAGCCUGCGUGACCCAGAAAGGCCAUGGUGAGCUCCUUAGAGGGAAGUAUAGUACAUAUUUCCUCCAUGUCUCCAGUACCCAACACAGUGCCUGACGUUGAGAGGGCUCUUAAUAAGUGUUUGUGAAAGACUGGUAGAGCAAUGCCCUAUGAAACAAGAAGCUGGAUAACACUGCUUAGGACUCAGAGGAGAGAGGAGUGUGGUCUACACUGCACAUCUCUGCCAAGCCUGGCACGGGAUUUGAAGUUCCACACCACUGAGCCAAACACAUCCAGACCCUCUUCCAACCCGGGGAUCUGGUGGUAAGCAAAAUACUAUUCCAGCAAGUGAUG